AUAGUAAAGCAGGCAAGCGUCGGCUCCCGAACUGGGUCAGGACAGGAAUGUAGCAGCCCUAAGGUUGUUCGAAGUUGUGCUUGUGUACAUAUUU
rnacentral:SRP_RNA from 1 species